rnacentral:lncRNA from 1 species
CAAAAAGGGUGAUGAAUAGAAAAUCUUUUCCCCAGACUCUUUCCUGAAAACAAUGAAGAUGGCGCUAUCUUUCACUGUAAUGGGGAACACAGGAAGCAGAGUGGGUUUUAUUCACCGGAGCUUCCCAACGAUACAACCUUAGAGGAAAGGCUUACAGUGGGUUUUUUAAUUUUGAAGAUGCAAUACCUGGGGAAAUAAAAUGGGAAGGAGAGAUCCACCCAGUGCAAGGUCUUAUUAAACUGGCCACCACCCAAGUGACUGGUUGUUCAAUCUCAAGGGCCUCUGAGUCACCUUAUGAAAUACAUUUUGGCACUUUCCCCUGGUGAAGGAGGUGGGGAGCAUUGGCAAAGAGUUGCCCAUAGGGUUAAAUUCCUUUAUUUCUGGUUGUGCAGGUCUGAGUGCCCAGGAACGUGACACUGCAAGGGAUACCCUGGGAUAAGAGACCCGUAGCAUCACCUGAGACAUGACCAUGUCAAAUGGCACCUGUGUAAAGAUAGUGGAAGCUUGGAGGAAUAGCCUUGCACUGGCACUGGAUGAAGUAGGGGAGGCUGAAGGAUUGUGGGUGAUCAUCUCCCAACAGCAAGAGGUUGUAGUGGAGAUCUUGUCUGCAGAGGAGGAGGAGAAAAAGGCAGCGGAAUCCCUCACUUCAAAUGAGAUUAGGGAGAUGCGUGAAAUGUGGGCAACUGUGCAGAAUUUUGUAGAAAAGCACAUGAAUAAGGCUGUAGCAGUGCAAGCAAUGAAUCUGUUUAACAAUGCAAUGUCACAUUUCUGCAAAAUCCUAAAAAGGAAGCAAAAUCAAUUGUCACCGGAUAGGUUUCUUGUUAAAGCUGCACAAAAAGAAAAAGGUUUCAUUGAGCCAAGGAUAGCAGUGAUUCCAUUAAUGAUAAUGAAAGUCAUCUCCUCUCUUGUUUCCCUCACAUGAGCCAUGAAAGUUUUCAAAGGAACAGGAAAGUCACUACUACAAAGAUAUUUACAUCAGGAAGGAGGAGUUUCCUAACGAAUGAGAGCUUGGAUUCUUAUCCUCCCUAGAGCAGGUGGGCCAGGCCUGAAUAUGAAAUAGAAAAGCCCGAAGUAUUUUAUUCAAGAAUGCCUGGGUUUACUUACCUGGCAAGGGAGAUACCAUGAUCACGAAGAAUGCCUGGGCAGAUGGUGUUUUGGAGAAGAGGCUACCACCCAGGCCUCCAAGAACCUGGGCUUGGAUUUUGUGUUUUCUACUUGGUUACUGGACCCUGGAGGACUCCCUCCCCAGCUCUCAGGACCAGAGAUCUUGCCAGUUUGAUGGUUAAGGCUGUGGACUGUGGUGGACCAGCUCUGUGUGGGUCUGAAUCCUGGUGACAGGGAUUGUGACAUUGGACAAAUCACUUGUACUAUUACUGUUCUAUUGCCUUGUGUGUAAAUAGGAGAUGAUGGACACCUAAGAAGAUCAGAUGAGUAACUGUGGGCCACAGGCUAGGAGGCACUUGGCAUGUGGUAGCACCAGGUGACAUCCACUGUAUGAUCAAAUUAGGAAGCGAUCACCCAGCUUUGGGGCUGUUGUGGAAUCCACGGAUACUUUAUCAACUGCAUAGGGCUGUGCUGAGGCAGAUCCUGCUUGGAACCCUUUCCUCUCCAAGACCUGUCCUCUGUAGAAACUCUGGAACCAAUCUUGGAAGACACACACUGGAGCCUGGGAUCUCAGCUCACCUCUGGCUCUCCACUCACCACCACCCACCCUUCUCCAUAGGCUCCCUCCUACCUGGGCCAGCUGUCCACAGAAUCUAUGAUGAAGAACUCCCCAUCCUGUCUCUCACCCCUGAGCUCACCACCCUCCUUUGACCAAGAUGCUCAGUGUGAUCUUGUCCCUGCCUGGCAUCGCCCAUCUAACACCAGAGUCCUCUGAUGCUCUUCUUCAGCUCUAACUCAGUGGGAAGAGAUCCUGGAGCACCAUUCUUCUUUGUGUUUGGGGAAUGCUAGGACCAGUGCUACAUCUGGCAGAGACGGUCAAGGAAUGUGUUAGUGUGUGUGUGUGUGUGUGUGUGCGUGUGGCUAUGCGGCUAUGCCAUCUUCUCAGCAGACCUACCAAGUAGGCACUGUUGAUGUCCCUCUUCUAUAGAGGAGGGAACUGAGUCUUCAGAGGUUAAAUAACUUGCUUGAAAUCCAACAACUAAGCAGGAGAACAGGGUUUCCAGCCCAGGCAAUCUGUCAGCAGAAUUGUGCUUCUCAUCCCUAGCAUGUGUGGCCCCUGUGGAUGAAUGAGCAUCCACCUGGACAUUAGAGCAGAAUCGGAUUGAGCUGAGUGAGUUGUCCAACUGCAACUUCUGGAUUAUUUUCUUGGGUGAGUGGAUGUAUUCGCUGUGACCUAACUCAGCUCCCUGGUUCAGUUGACUUCUAGUGUCCUGUUUGUCUUAGAUCUUGGGGUCAGAGGCUGGAGGCACAUUUACAUUCACCUGAACUGUCCAGGGCUUAAGGGUAAACCUUUGAAUCACAACUAUUGCUUCCUAGCUGAUGACCUGGGGCAAAUUAAACCCUUCUAGAGCCUCAGCUUCCCCAUGUUUAACUUGAAAUGACUCCUAAGUCUUUUUGUUUUGAUUGUCUCUGAGCCCUAUUUUUGUCUUCUGUAAAGACCUGUGGGCCUUUGGAUCUUUAAGGCUAUCUCCAGGCUCAUUUCAGAGCGGGUGGCACAGCUGACUGACUCUUCAGUGUAAUGUGCAUUGCCGCAGUGAGGACCCAGGGUAAUACCUUUUGCUGUCCCAGCCAAAAUAGUAUUGCCGGCUUAAAAGAUUUUUUUAAAAGGAAGAGCAUAGAAAAGGAGAAUUACCCUGAUAGGGUGUUGACUUUGCCUCCCGAGUUAAAUCUAGGGGAGAAUCCUUGCUCAAAGUAUUCCAACAAAAUGUAUCUCUGAAAUUAAACAUGAUAGCUGAAUCAA